rnacentral:misc_RNA from 1 species
GCCACAAUGGUCAGAUCAACCAACAAAUGCAAAGCUUGUGAAUGAUGUUUGGGAAAUAGGUGUUAGAGCCAAACAAGAUGAAAAAGGGAUAGUUAGAAGAGAAGUUAUAGAAGAAUGUAUAAAACUAGUGAUGGAAGAAGAUAAAGGAAAAUUAAUUAGAGAAAAUGCAAAGAAAUGGAAGGAAAUAGCUAGAAAUGUUGUGAAUGAAGGAGGAAGUUCAGAUAAAAAUAUUGAAGAAUUUGUUUCCAAGUUGGUUACUAUUUCCUAAAUGAUAAAGAAAUAGAUUUGUAUUUUGUAAUUACUUUUUUCUGAUUGAAG